rnacentral:rRNA from 1 species
UACGGAAGGCAGCAGUGGGGAAUAUUGCACAAUGGGCGCAAGCCUGAUGCAGCCAUGCCGCGUGUAUGAAGAAGGCCUUCGGGUUGUAAAGUACUUUCAGUCGUGAGGAAGGUGUUAAGGUUAAUAACCUUAGCAAUUGACGUUAGCGACAGAAGAAGCACCGGCUAACUCCGUGCCAGCAGCCGCGGUAAUACGGAGGGUGCGAGCGUUAAUCGGAAUUACUGGGCGUAAAGGGCACGCAGGCGGUUAAUUAAGUUGGAUGUGAAAUCCCCGGGCUUAACCUGGGAAUGGCAUUCAAGCUGGUUAGCUAGAGUCUUGUAGAGGGGGUAGAAUUCCAUGUGUAGCGGUGAAAUGCGUAGAGAUGUGGAGGAAGUACCGGUCGGCGGAAGGCGGCCCCGUCGGACAAAGGACUGACGCUCAUGUGCGAAAGCGUGGGGAGGCAAACGACGGAGUUAGAUAC